GUGACAGCACGCAUUGCCGCAAACGAGCAGCUGAGCAUCUCUUCAUCAAGCCACCGCGCAAAUAAAACUGAAACAAGUCAUCAGGGUCACUUCCGCUGUCAUCCAGCUCCGAGCCCAAGAAGUGUCCGUUCGCCUCCCCGGUGGUGGAUGGAGUGCUGGCCCGGUCUGCCUCGGAGCAGCUGGUGCAGUCUGAAUCCAGGGAAUCCGAUGGCCCUUCAUCCUUGAACAUCUCUUUCAAAACCCGCCCGCUGUUCCCUGAGGCCACCCGGAAUCUCACCCUCUUCUGCCUCUUUCCAUCCUCCGGUGUCAACAAAGCCUCCUCCAUUGCGUCGACUUACAUGGUCCAAAAAGAAAAAGGCAUUUUAAUCCCUCGGAUUCAUGGGUGGAUGAAUAUAAUUAGCCCCGGGUUUGCUCCAUGAUGUCCCCUGGAGCCCAGGCACAGCGAGCAGAUCUGGAAAGAGGCAGAUCUGUGCGUUACCGUCAGCCUCACCACCCGUGUUCCUGUACAUGUUAAUAAUGCAUGUGGCCUUGCCAUGGUUACUGAGAAAACCGACCAUGAAGAAACUGAUAGUCUUUUUAAAUAAUUUAUCAUGCCAUAGAUUUGUCUCUUUUUGACAAUGAAUAGACCUUGACUCAUGUCUAUGUCAUGUCAAAUGUAUGCCUGUCUUUGUGACCUUUAGGUGUAAAGAAAAAAAUCUUUCAUUU